GGCAUGGGGCAUGGCGACCUAGGGAGGUCCGCCGAUUCGUGACGGUGGCGCGGUCGCGUCAGACGGCGGGUUCGGGGCAGGCUCUAGCGAUGAGGAGCUCGCACGCAGCACGGGAUCCCUCGGGAGCGAUGAGCACUCGGCUCGCUGCGCGGGGGCGGUGUUAUUUUGGGCCCGAGCGGGCCUCACACGGGCUCGGCAGGGCCCUGUGUGGUUGGAGGCU
rnacentral:lncRNA from 1 species